rnacentral:rRNA from 1 species
AUUGAACGCUGGCGGCAUGCCUUACACAUGCAAGUCGAACGGCAGCACGGGAGCAAUCCUGGUGGCGAGUGGCGAACGGGUGAGUAAUAUAUCGGAACGUGCCCAGUCGUGGGGAUAACGUAGCGAAAGCUACGCUAAUACCGCAUACGAUCUAUGGAUGAAAGCGGGGGAUCGCAAGACCUCGCGCGAUUGGAGCGGCCGAUAUCAGAUUAGGUAGUUGGUGAGGUAAAGGGCUCACCCAAGCCGACGAUCUGUAGCUGGUCUGGAGAGGACGACCAGCCACACUGGGACUGAGACACGGCCCAGACUCCUACGGGAGGCAGCAGUGGGGAAUUUUGGACAAUGGGCGCAAGCCUGAUCCAGCAAUGCCGCGUGCAGGAUGAA